rnacentral:rRNA from 1 species
AUGAACGCUAGCGGCAGGCCUAAUACAUGCAAGUCGAACGAGAUUGAGGAGCUUGCUCUUCAUGAAAGUGGCGCACGGGUGCGUAACGCGUAUGCAACCUACCUUAAUCAGGGGGAUAGCCUCUCGAAAGAGAGAUUAACACCGCAUAAAAUCACAGUCCGGCAUCGGAUAAUGAUCAAAUAUUUAUAGGAUUAAGAUGGGCAUGCGUGACAUUAGUUUGUUGGUGAGGUAACGGCUCACCAAGACUACGAUGUCUAGGGGAUCUGAGAGGAUGACCCCCCACACUGGUACUGAGACACGGACCAGACUCCUACGGGAGGCAGCAGUAAGGAAUAUUGGUCAAUGGGGGCAACCCUGAACCAGCCAUGCCGCGUGCAGGAAGACGGCCCUACGGGUUGUAAACUGCUUUUAUACGGGAAUAAACCCCUUUACGUGUAAAGGGUUGAAUGUACUGUAAGAAUAAGGAUCGGCUAACUCCGU